rnacentral:lncRNA from 1 species
GGGAAAGCUGGCAAUCACAGGCCUCACCCAGCUCCCACGCAAUCCGAAGGGCAGGUCUCACUCCCACCAUGCCCCGCCUCACAGCACUGAGUCUGUUUCCAGAAAGUGGGCAAGCAGGGCUGAGAAUUUGCCUUGGGCUACUUGCCUCCCAGGCGGAGGUGGUGAGCGGAGAUUGCGCCAUCGCACUCCAGCCUGGGCAACAAGAGCAAAACUCCAUCUCAAUAAUAAAAAAAAAGAUACUAAGGCUUUAGUUCUUCCCCGGCCUGUGGAGUCUGCUUGCUGGAUUCAUGCCCUUCCCCCCAAGCAGAGUUCUGGCCAGGAGGCUUCUGAACAGGUUCAAAUUGUUACAAAGAUCAGCUGGAGAGUUCCUUCUCCCUGUGGCGUUUUCCCUGCACCUCUGGCCACCCUCCGGAAGGAUCCCUAUGGUGCCAGGCAGGAAUGACCUGCUUGGGGACCCAGUGAGCUCACAGGGCCUUUCCCACUUCUUCCUCUACCUGUGUAUUUCACUUGGCUCUCUACAUCGACUCAGCUCCAGCCAUGUGAAGUGCCUCACUCCCUGUUCACCUUCCACCAUGAUUUUAAGUUCUGUGAGGCCUCCCUAGAAGCUGAUGCCACCAUGUUUCCUGUACAACCUGCAGAAUGGAAGCCUGUCAGCCAGCAGCAUGAAUUCGAGCCACAUGUGCAUACAAUAUGGUGAAUGCCGCAGUCUGUUGCUAGAAAGAGCUUGGUGGCAGGCACUAUGCAUGCUGUGCAAAUGUUAAUGAAACAUAGUCUCUUACUCCUGAGGGUGUCGAUGUUUUCUAAAUGGAUGAUGUGCCAGAAUACCCUCAAAUCACAAUACUACUUAUAAAUUUGAUUCUUAUGGGAGGAUUUUUGUCUGGACAACGUCAUGAAGAGCUUGCUGAAAGUUCAUCUAGCAACUAUCCACAGACCAGAAUAUCUAUUUGAAAUACUUUGAAACAAGCCUGAGACACCUGCAUGGCCUGCAGAAAUGAAUGAAAACCAAAUUAGAAGAGUAAGAGUAAGAACGGUAUCACACUGACCACGCUGCCCCUGCCGCUCCCCAAGUUGGCACCACCCCAGGAGAGGAUUUCCCUGGACCUACGGUUUCCACAGGGGAAGAGAGAAGUGGAAGCAGUCACUCAGCUUCCCUAGCAUUUUGAAACGCUUCCCAGGAAGACCCCUCCAGUCUCAAAUCAGAGAAACACUGCGGGUAAGGGCACUGCUCCAUUGCCUAGGGUCAGGUAAAAACGAAGAAGGGAGGCAGAAGUCAUAUUCCCCAGCCUGCGGAACUUGGUGGCACCUCCAUACUCCUGCCAGCUGUACCACCCGACUGGAGAUAUCAGCCAACUUCCCAGCCCAUCCCCAAAGUUGGACCGGUCGCCUUCAGAAGCACGGUGGGAAGUUCAACCCACUUGAGUCCCUAGAUGACUAGUCUGCACGCCCAGCCUCGGAGUCCACCCCACAAACCCCGCUUAGGGAGGGUGAUGUCCGCCUCUGCCCAUUUUGGUGAAGCACAGGAGCUAGACCUGACUGACUGGGGAAUUCAAGCAGCAGCUCCACUCAGCCAAAAUGUCCACUUGCCAAGGCAUUCAGAGAGACGCUGAGGCUAGACCUGCUUCACCAGGGAGGUUAAACAGCCAAUGAACUCAGUCAAAAGCCCACCCCACGACUCCUCCCUUACAGGGAGGCAAUGCUCAAUCGUGCAUUUCUAAAGAGCAUAGCAUCUGGCCCUUCCGUCCUUAGCACUGACUCUGCCUAACUUCGGGGUCCCGCCUGCAGCCCACCUAACUGCAGAUCUCAAAUCGCAGAACUGCUCAGCCAGAAAACACAUCUUUUGACCCACCUGACCACAAACCAUCACAGUACCCAGCCAGGAGCUCCGCCUGGUGGCAGAGCCCAGCCAGUGGCCUCAGCAGGAAGGGGCCCAGAGAGCAAACCCACCCAACAUUAGAAAAAAGGCAACCAGAAAAAUCCACAACAAGCUCUGCCUGCCCUGAGUCAUCAUCAGGCAGCCCUUCCAAAAUCCAAGGCUAUACUAACUAGAGAAGGCCUAUCCCUGCUGAACACCUAUAAAGACCAGAAGAGGGGGCUGUCUGUUAUGACUUUUGAUAUAUAUAUUGACAGAUUUGCUUUGACAUAUUUUUACAAAUUUG